rnacentral:lncRNA from 1 species
CGAAGCUCAGAUUGAUGCUGUUUAUGCUGCAAUGAAAGCUUUGAAUUUCGAUGAUGUGAAAAUGGAGAUUACUGAAACUGGAUGGCCUUCAAAAGGCGAUGAAAACGAGACUGGUGCAAGUGCUGACAAUGCUGCUGCUUACAACGGUAAUCUGGUAAAAAGAGUGCUUACUGGAAGUGGGACCCCUUUAAAGCCCGAUGAACCUCUUAACGUCUAUUUAUUCGCUUUGUUCAAUGAGAAUCAAAAGCCCGGGCCCGUUUCAGAACGGAACUACGGUCUUUUCUAUCCUAGUAAAGAAAAGGUUUACGAUAUUAUGCUUACCCGAGAAGGUUUAGAGGCCGGGCCUAAUAAUGGAAGUAAAAGCCAGGUGGUGAAGAUUCCGGUACCGUCUCCGUCGUCUUCUCCGACUCCGGCGCCAGUUGUUGGCGGCGGUGUGGAGGAGAGUAAGGUCGGCGCCGGUUGUUGGCGGCGGUGUGGAGGAGAGUAAGGUGGUGAACACGUGGUGUGUGGCGAAUGAGAAAGCUGGGACGGAGCAGCUGCAAGCGGCGUUGGACUAUGCUUGUGGAGAAGGAGGAGCUGAUUGCCGUCCGAUUCAGCCGGGUGCCACGUGUCAUAAUCCUGAUACACUUGCGGCACAUGCUUCUUAUGCGUUCAAUAGUUAUUAUCAAAAGAAAGCACGUGGGACUGGCACGUGCGAUUUCAAAGGAGCAGCUUACGUCGUCACUCAACAUCCAAGUAAGUAUUCAUAGACGCGGCUCAAUAAAAUAGGUGGCUUCGUAAUAUUUCGUUUUUAUUUUAGAAGCUAAAUAAUUGUUUUUUUUGUAAUUUACUAAAUAUUAAUUUUGUUUUCUUAUUGCAGAAUAUGGCAGUUGCAAGUUUCCAACAGGAUAUUAAAAAUUGAGGAGAUUGGUUAAGAAGUUUAGUAUGCAAAUGGUUUUAGUUAUUUGAUGUCUACAUUCUUUUUCCUUUAGUAGUAUUUCAGUAUUAUUUAUUAGUAUAUAAUGAAACAACUUAUCCCAUAAAUAUGAUGAAAUAUCUCAACACAUAGGAUAACUUCAUUCUCAUACCAAACAAAUCCAUUAUAUAAAGUAAUUAUAUAAAAUAAUACGCUCUUGGUCCAACAAUAGUUGUCCACUAUACUAUUUUGGGAUGUUGAACAAUACUUGUCCACUUUAUGAAAUCAAUAGAUAAAUUAUACUCCCUCCAUUUCAUAUUGAUUGAAUUGUUGAGACAUUUUUCAUUUUUCAAAUUAACUUAAUUGUUCAAUUUUCAAGACUAUUUUUAGAAUGUUCUUCCAAUUUCACCCUUCAUUAGUUAGUAUUCAAAUUAGUUAUUUAUCAAUAUUUAGUUAUUUUAAUCAUAAAUUUGACAAUCAUUAAUAAGGGUAAAAAUGAAAAGUUAUGCCUAAUUUAUGUCUUAAUCUUUUUUUCUUAAAGGGUGUGAAACACAUCAACAACUCAAUGAAUUUGAAAUGAAUGGAGUAAUCAUUUUCCUAUUACAUUUUUCAAGACAUUGUAUAUAAUAUUAUAUUCAAAAGGUCAUAAGUAAAUUAUCAUUCCAUUUAUAAUUUCUUAAGAAGUGUGUAAAGUCGAUAGUAAAAAUUAUUAUUAGAUAGAGAAAAUACUAAUUAAAUUAAAAAUAUAAAAAUAUUAUUAAUAAAAUUAAUUUAGUAAAAAUACAUUGCCUUAUCCAUCCAUUCCACAAGUUAUUAGAAAGUAAUAGAUGAGAUCUAGCAUAAAACUUAAGUUAAGAAUAAUAAUAAAAAACAUAUUUAAUAAAAAUAUUAUCUAACCUCAUAAGGUUAAUAAAAUCCUUAUUAUCUUACAUAAUAACUUUAUUAAAUACUUAAUGCAAAAUUAAUGAAGUUUUAUAGGUGACCCCACUUUCACCACAUUUGUUAAUUUUUUCAAACCCACUCCCUUUAUUUUUAACCACUAACAUCCCCUCUACCCCCAUUAACAACAUGCACGACUCUUUCUUCCUUACUGCCAAGUCUUUCACUUCUUUUUCUCUAUAUAAACUCAACCAUAAUCACCAAAUACACAAAUAUCCUCUUUCUUUCUCAUUGCUCUCUUUUCUCCUUACAUCCACAGCAAUGGCCUCUUUUACUACAUUAACUUCCCUCUUCGUUCUUCUCUCUUUGCUCUCUUAUGCAAAUUCCGGUUCUAUUGGUGUCAAUUAUGGCCGUAUUGCUAAUAAUCUUCCGACUCCAGAAGAAGUUGUUCAGCUCCUCAAAUCUCAAGGCAUUAAUCGCGUAAAGCUUUACGAUACUGAUUCCGCUGUUCUUACAGCUCUUUCUGGAUCCAAUAUAUCAGUUACUGUUGCACUUCCUAACGAGCAACUCUCUGAUGCAGCCUCGAAGCAGUCUUUUACUGAUUCAUGGGUUCAAUCGAAUAUUAUUCGUUAUUAUCCAAAAACAAAUAUAGAAUCUAUAGCUGUUGGAAAUGAGGUUUUUGUAGAUCCAAAAAAUACAACCAAAUUUCUAGUACCCGCCAUGAAAAAUGUUUACGCAUCUCUUGUUAAAUACGGCGUCGCUUCGUCUAUCAAAGUUUCAUCCCCUGUUGCUCUCAGUGCUCUGCAAAAUUCCUAUCCUUCAUCUUCUGGUUCAUUCAAAACGGAUCUAAUCGAACCGGUUAUUAAACCGAUGUUGAGUUUCCUCAAGCAAUCGGGUUCUUUCUUAGCUGUUAAUAUUUAUCCAUUUUUUGCUUAUGUAGCGAAUACGGAUACGAUUUCUUUGGAUUAUGCUUUGUUUAGGGAUAAUAAAGGUGUAACUGACCCAAAUAAUGGACUUGUUUAUAAAAGCCUUUUCGAAGCUCAGAUUGAUGCUGUUUAUGCUGCAAUGAAAGCUUUGAAUUUCGAUGAUGUGAAAAUGGAGAUUACUGAAACUGGAUGGCCUUCAAAAGGCGAUGAAAACGAGACUGGUGCAAGUGCUGACAAUGCUGCUGCUUACAACGGUAAUCUGGUAAAAAGAGUGCUUACUGGAAGUGGGACCCCUUUAAAGCCCGAUGAACCUCUUAACGUCUAUUUAUUCGCUUUGUUCAAUGAGAAUCAAAAGCCCGGGCCCGUUUCAGAACGGAACUACGGGCUUUUCUAUCCUAGUAAAGAAAAGGUUUACGAUAUUACGCUUAUCCGAGAAGGUUUAGAGGCCGAUCCUAAU